GAUGGGAUGAGGCAGGCACAGCCACUGCUCUGCCUCCCAGUUCUGGACCUGGACAGGGCCAUGAGGCCGACGGGCAGUGGGCCACAUCAGAGUUCCGAGAAGGCAAGGGCCAUGAAUAUAGGAGCCCAGCAUUUGAAGGGAGACAGAGGGAGCGAUUUGAAGCAGGACCUAAAGAAAAGCCUCUGGACGAGCCUGAAGCCCAAGGGUUGGAAAGCCGGCAGGGCCGGGCAUUUGAGGAUAGGAGGCGAGAGCGAGAGAGAGGCAGAAACUGGAGUCGAGAAAAAGACUGGGAAAGGAGCCGGGACUGGGACCGGCAUCGGGAAUGGGACAAAGGCAGGGAUAGGAGCUCCAACAGGGACAGGGAGCGAGACACCGACAGGGGUAAGGAGUGGGACCGGAGCCGUGAGAGAAGUCGGAAUCGCGACCGGGACCGUGAAAGGCGGCGAGACCGAGACAGGUCCCGGAGCAGAGACCGAGACAGGGACCGUGAGAGAGCCCGAGACAGGGACAGGGACCGAGGCCGGGACCGGAAGGACCGCAGCAAGAGCAGAGAGAGCCCUCGGGACUUGAAACCUGAGGCCAGAACCUCUGAGGGGGGCCCUGCUGCAGCCCAGGCCUAGAGGCCAUUGCACUCAGGGCUGAUGACACGAUGCUGGUGUGGACAAAGACUUGUGUCAGCUAUUGUAUAUAGGCUCAGCCUGGCAAAGACCCCUUUAAAAGCCAAGUGCAUAAAAUGUAUUGAGCAAAGAGUUUUUGAAAUAGCUAUGAACUUAUAUGCAGGAUAUAAUAUUCUGGACUUCAGGAAUUACUGUAAUUUUGUGUAUAAUGGUUUGUUACAAAAUUUCCCAACUUUACAAUUCUGAUUUUUUAAAAAAAAUAAUUUCCAUUUAAAAUUAGAGAAAUGGGAAAAUGUCUACAAAAGCAUAUUGCUUUUUUCAGAUUAUAAAGUUUUUUCCAAUAACUUGACUGGUGUAAGUUUUAAGGGAAUUUCAGUGGAUCUUAGAGCUAGUUUCCCUGUGUAGCCAUCUCUGCUUCCGUCUGUCCGGGGGCUCUCAGUGCUGUCCCGGUCGGUCGGAAAGCACUGUUUCGGGGGUGAGCUGGGGAUUUUGUGCGCAAUUGCAGCUGUGGGAGAGCAGCCUUCUGAGGCCCAGCUCCCAGCAACACAUCACCUUAGAAGUUUUUUCAGAGCAUAAUUAGAAAUAAUCUGACCUAGUGGAAAUUGUUACAUUUUAAAUAACAAUUUAUUUUUAAAUGUUCAAAUUUAUCAGCCUAAAAAAAGAAGCAAAGCAGUUUAGAGCAGUUUUUAAGAGGGGAGAGACAGGAGUCAAGCACUGCCCAUUGCUGCCCUCUGAGUGGCUCUCUGCAGAUUCAGACUCCAGACAGGUGACAGGUUUGGAAGCUUCUCAGUGGGAUGGGGCAAUGUUUGUACCAAAUCUGGAAAUGAGGAUGGUGGUGAAGCAGCCUGCUUCAUGAAAGGCUAUCUGCUGUGUAGCCCCGGUUGCCUCUGAAGAUGCUGUGAGAAGGCCAGCUAACUUAACCUGACUGCAAAUAUGUUUGGUAGUUCCUUUUAUAUUUUCAUAAACUUACUUUUUCAGAUAGAGAAUUAGCUUCGUUUGUUCUUCGGUGUCUUAUUUCACUCCACACUGUACAUCACUACAGAUUUUUUUCACUUUAUAGCACAUGUUUUAAGUUGAAAAGAAAUGGGAAAAUAGCAAUUUGGGAUACUUGCUAUUGUAAACCAAAUAAACAGUAGGGUAAAUUACAUGAAAGUGUCAGUUUCAACAUCUAAUAAUAUGUGAAGGUUUUUUUUUUUUAAAUGUAAAGUAAAAUUUUCUAACUUAAAUGCACAAGCAUAAAAAUCAAGUGUGUUUCUUUAGGUUUACUUUGUAGAAAUUUCUGUACACUGUAUUUUGUAUUGCAGAGUGUUCUAUCACUGUCCAUUGAAACACAGGACUUCAUAGGUUUUGUUACUUGAAGUAGAAUAAAUAUCUACAGAGUU
rnacentral:lncRNA from 1 species